GAUGAACGCUGGCGGCGUGCCUAAUACAUGCAAGUCGAGCGAACGGAUAAGGAGCUUGCUCCUUUGGCGUUAGCGGCGGACGGGUGAGUAACACGUGGACAACCUACCUAUAAGACUGGGAUAACUUCGGGAAACCGGAACUAAUACCGGAUAACAUAUUGAACCGCAUGGUUCAAUAGUGAAAGGCGGCUUUGCUGUCACUUAUAGAUGGAUCCGCGCCGUAUUAGCUAGUUGGUAAGGUAACGGCUUACCAAGGCAACGAUACGUAGCCGACCUGAGAGGGUGAUCGGCCACACUGGAACUGAGGCACGGUCCAGACGCCUACGGGAGGCAGCAGUAGGGAAUCUUCCGCAAUGGGCGAAAGCCUGACGGAGCAACGCCGCGUGAGUGAUGAAGGUCUUCGGAUCGUAAAACUCUGUUAUCAGGGAAGAACAAAUGUGUAAGUAACUGUGCACAUCUUGACGGUACCUGAUCAGAAAGCCACGGCUAACUACGUGCCAGCCGCCGCAGUAAGAC
rnacentral:rRNA from 1 species